AUUGAACGCUGGCGGCAGGCCUAACACAUGCAAGUCGAGCGAGCGGCGGACGGGUGAGUAAUGUCUGGGAAACUGCCUGAUGGAGGGGGGUCACUACUGGAAACGGUAGCUAAUACCGCAUACCAUCAGAUGUGCCCAGAUGGGUUUAGCUAGUAGGUGGGGUAACGGCUCACCUGGGCGACGAUCCCUAGCUGGUCUGCGAGGAUGACCAGCCACACUGGACGUGGGACACGGUCCAGACGCCUACGGGAGGCAGCAGUGGGGAAUAUUGCACAAGGUGCGCAAGCCGGAUGCAGCCAUGCCGCGUGUGUGAAGAAGGCCUUCGGGUUGUAAAGCACUUUCAGCGUGGAGGCGUUACCCGCAGAAGAAGCACCGGCUAACUCCGUGCCAGCAGCCGCGGUAAUAC
rnacentral:rRNA from 1 species